UUUCCCAGCAUGCCCUGGCUCUGGUGGUGGAGGUGAAUGAGGGGGAAGACUAUGUCCUGCUGCCCUGUCAGUACUCCGGUAUCAUACCUGAGACAAAUCCCACUGUGACGUGGACUCGCAACGAUCUUGAUCUGAAAUCUAUUCACCAACAAGGAGAAGGAGGAGAUGAUCUUACAGGACAAAACCAGCGUUACAGCAGACGCGCAUCAAUGAGGUCUGACGCUCUGGACACUGGAGACUUCAGCCUCACUCUGAGAAAACCAACAAAGACUGACAGCAGCAACUACAGCUGCUCCAUCAGUUAUGGAAGAGAGGAACAGAGAGUCAUAGACAUCCAGCUGAAGGUCAAAGGUUAGCAGAAAAACUCCGACAAAUGUUGUAAUUACUGGUCAUAAGUCAGUUCUGUACACAAAUGUCAGAGGUUAACUGAAGAAAAGUAUUUCCUAAAUUAUUAUGUAUGACAGCGGCAACUACACCUGCAUCCUCAGUUAUAGAAGCCAUGGAGUAGAACGUAGACUGACAGACAUAGAGCUGGAGGUCAAAGUCCAGCAGGUGAUUGUGAAGGUGGUAGAAGGAUCGGAGUCUGCCAUCUUGCCCUGCAGAACGACAGCUGACCUCUCACAGGAUACCACGGUUGAGUGGACUCGCUCUGAUGUAGACUUCAUGUUGGUCCACGUGUACUCAAAGACACGUAACACCAUCAGGGAACAGGAUGGCUUUUACAGAGACCGAACGAUGAUGAAUGAAGACCCGCUGAGAACUGGAGACCUCAGUCUGACCCUGAAAUACCCCACAGAUGGAGACAGUGGAGGAUACGUUUGCACCAUCUACAGGGACAAAGACAUCCUGAGACAGAAAGUAGUGCUGCAGGUCAAAGAACGAUCUUGGGCCAAAGUUCUAGUGGCUCUCCUGGUUCUCCUGGUUCUUCUUGUGGUUUCUGGAGGUCUUUUAUAUCAUUUCCGGCACUAUUUCAUGUCAGGUGAGUGUCUCCUACUACACUACCCAUAA
rnacentral:lncRNA from 1 species